UACGUAGGGGGCAAGCGUUGUCCGGAUUUAUUGGGCGUAAAGCGCGUGUAGGCGGCCAGAAAAGUCCGCUGUGAAAACUCGAGGCUCAACUUCGAGCUGUCGGUGGAAACUUUCUGGCUAGAGUCCGGAAGAGGAGAAUGGAAUUCCUGGUGUAGCGGUGAAAUGCGCAGAUAUCAGGAAGAACACCCGUGGCGAAGGCGGUUCUCUGGGACGGUACUGACGCUGAGACGCGAAAGCGUGGGGAGCGAACAGGAUUAGAUACCCUGGUAGUCCACGCCGUAAACGAUGGGUGCUAGGUGUGGGCGGUGUCGACUCCGUCCGUGCCGAAGCUAACGCAUUAAGCACCCCGCCUGGGGAGUACGGCCGCAAGGCUAAA
rnacentral:rRNA from 1 species